UACGGAGGGUGCAAGCGUUAUCCGGAUUCACUGGGUUUAAAGGGUGCGUAGGAGGGCAGGUAAGUCCGUGGUGAAAUCUCUGAGCUUAACUCAGAAACUGCCGUGGAUACUACCGGUCUUGAAUAUCGUGGAGGUGAGCGGAAUAUGUCAUGUAGCGGUGAAAUGCUUAGAUAUGACAUAGAACACCAAUUGCGAAGGCAGCUUACUACGGAUUGAUUGACACUGAGGCACGAAAGCGUGGGGAUCAAACAGG
rnacentral:rRNA from 1 species